rnacentral:misc_RNA from 1 species
GGGUACAGAAACCUGGGAAGACCCAGUAGCGAUGGAGCGGCCGAAAAGCUCAGAACUGGCGUCGGACACGUGAGAAAUCUCUUGUUGCAGGUAAUGGAGGCGAGGUAGUGAGUGGCCUCUACCGACCAUGGCCGAACAGCCUCCUGACCAACAGACCCUCCAAAAGAAAUUGCUCUUCUACGUCACUGCCAGCUUCAUCCUCCUCGCCACUUUUAGCCUGUUCGCCUUCCUCUUCCUCGUGCCUUUCGUCAUCGAGCCAGCCUUCACGACGAUUUUUAUGGAGUUCGACGAAACCCCAGUGACGUGUCAGACUAUAGAAACUAUCCACAACAAAGGGAUGUCGAAUUGUUCGUGGACGUCCUGCAAAGAGGGUUGUACAAAAGAUGUUUUCACUUGUACGCAGAUAAGAGUCAAUUACAAGGUGGACAGGGCUGAGAGGGGUGUAGGGGACAGGGCUGGUCGGGUCCCUAGAGCGAUCAGAGAUUACGACUAUCGCGAAGGCUACGACACCGUUCCGCAGGACUUGAUCGAAGACGAGGUCGCCACCGGUCCGGUGCACGGUUUCGCCCCGAACGGCUCCGAAUGGUAUUUCAUCGGCGCCAAGUUGCACCCGAACGUGAAGGGUUGCGGAUACCCGCCGAUGCUCAACUGUACCAUCUGGGUCCAGAAGCACAAGGAGGAAGGGGCCAACUUUUCCUGUUAUUAUUCUAGAAUAGAGCCCGGUCUGGUCAUUACCGAUCUGGACAUGUGGCAGGUCUACAUGAACCUGGUCUACGCCAUGGCGAUACCCAUCCCGUCCUUUAUCGUGUCCAUCAUCUAUCUCGCCAUGGCCUACCUCUACAUCUACAACGAUGAGCCGACACCGCUCGACGGCGAGGCCGAGGAGAGCACACCGCUCCCUCUUCUCACACCAGUGCCGCCGCCGACUUCAGGGGCGCUCACCCCGGCUUCGGAAGUGUUCCGUGAAGACCUCGCCAGCUUCGGCCACCAGCUGAAAGUCGCUAUGGCGGAUGACAUCAGCAGAGACAGCAUCUUUACGGACAGCGUACCGCUCAGCACAAAUUCCAUCAAUGGCCUUGGCUCCGCCGCUUCGAAACAAUUGGCUGCUUUUAGCACAAUGAAGAUGGAAGGGUAGGCUCCAAUUGGCGCCCGACGACGAGGAAACAGCCUCGAAUCGGUGGAUCCGCCAGCGGAGAAACUUGAACAAGAUGAUGACGACGAGUAUUAUAACGCCCCCUGGGCCGAUAGCUCAAGUCUGAAACGAUCCUUCCAACGCAU